CCAAGUAGAAGCUUGUAUGAUACUGCCACAUCAACCACUUAGAAAUCCAUGGUGAAUUCUACUGGACCAAUGGUCAAUUCCAGUAUGAUGUCACCCACUAUGUCGGUACCACCUCUGUCAAAACCUCGGACACAGACGAUGUUCUUGUGAAUCCGGUCAUGAUCAAUUUUCAGCCUGUUCAAAGUGGCAAAAGUACAGAUGUUGGCA
rnacentral:lncRNA from 1 species